UACGAAGGGUGCAAGCGUUACUCGGAAUUACUGGGCGUAAAGGGUGCGUAGGUGGUUCGUUAAGUCUGAUGUGAAAGCCCUGGGCUCAACCUGGGAAUUGCAUUGGAUACUGGCGGGCUAGAGUGCGGUAGAGGGUAGUGGAAUUCCCGGUGUAGCAGUGAAAUGCGUAGAUAUCGGGAGGAACAUCCGUGGCGAAGGCGACUGCCUGGACCAGCACUGACACUGAGGCACGAAAGCGUGGGGAGCAAACAGGAUUAGAUACCCCGUACGU
rnacentral:rRNA from 1 species